rnacentral:rRNA from 1 species
CGGAGGAUCCAAGCGUUAUCCGGAAUCAUUGGGUUUAAAGGGUCCGUAGGCGGUUUAGUAAGUCAGUGGUGAAAGCCCAUCGCUCAACGGUGGAACGGCCAUUGAUACUGCUAGACUUGAAUUAUUAGGAAGUAACUAGAAUAUGUAGUGUAGCGGUGAAAUGCUUAGAGAUUACAUGGAAUACCAAUUGCGAAGGCAGGUUACUACUAAUUGAUUGACGCUGAUGGACGAAAGCGUGGGUAGCGAACAGGAUUAGAUACCCUGGUAGUCCACGCCGUAAACGAUGGAUACUAGCUGUUGGGAGCGAUCUCAGUGGCUAAGCGAAAGUGAUAAGUAUCCCACCUGGGGAUACGUUCGCAAGAAUG